UAAAUGCAAAAAUCGAAAAUUAAUAGGGAUAAUUUGAAAAAUACACUGUUUAUCAUUUAAAAUUUGAAAUGUAUAUUCCUUUUUUCUUUUUUUUGAACAUUACACUUUCUUGUUGGAACACGGAGAAAGUUCUAACAGCUCUCCUCUACGAUGUACAGGAAAAAAAAAUCAAAAUUUGUUUGUUAUAGAUCUGUCGAAGUUCUUGUGUGUUUCUCAGUCUUGUUCCAACGUUCUAUGCGAUGAGUGACUCUUUUGAAGCAUGUUUCACAAUAUACUACAAUGGAAAAUUUGAAAUUAAUGAUGGUGUCACUUCAUAUAAAGGAGGGGAUACAUAUGAUCUUGUUUGCUAUCCCAAGAUGAUGUUCACAAAGCUGUCGGACGCACUUGGAAUCAGCUUAUACGGACAAAGGAUUUGGUACAAACUUCCUUAUGAAGACAUCACAUAGCUGAAAAUGAUGUGUAAUGUUGGGGUCAAAAUCGGUCACGACGAAAUCAAUGUCUGAAAGUCCGUAAAAAUCGGCAUGAGCGUUUUUAC